rnacentral:rRNA from 1 species
AACGCCCCGCCGGCGGAUGCCUCGGCCCGGGCGGCGACGAAGAGCGCGGCGGAGCGCGAGACGCGGUGCGGACCCGCCCGCCCCGAGAAGCACCGGCCCUCGAACGCAGCGCGCCCCGGCGCCGCCGCCUCGGUGCCCUGCCGCGUGCCGCGCGCCGCGCCGCAGAGAGCGCCCCGGGGCGGUCCCGCCGGGCUGCGCGGCCCGAGGCGGCGGGGGCGACGGGCGGAACUUAAGCAUAUCAGUACGCCCCGGAGGAGAAACCAACCGGGAUUCCCCGUAGCGGCGAGCGACGCGGGAGGAGCCCGCCCCGAAGGCGCGCUGUGGGGCGCAGGCGCAGGCCCGCCGCGAGGGGGCCCGAGGGCCCCGCCCGAGAGGGUGCAAGCCCCGUACGGCGGCCGCCGGGCCUGCGCGGCGAGUAGCGCUGCUUGAGCGUGCAGCGCGAAGGGAGGCGCGGCCCUUCCAAGGCUAAAUACGCCCCGGGACCGAUAGCGGACCAAGUAGCGCGAGCGAACGGUGAAAAGGACGCCCUGCGGCCGCUCAAAAGACCUGAACCCGGCCGGCCGCCGGCCCGCCGGCCCCGUCUCGAAACACGGACCGAGGAGCCACGCGCCGCGGCGAGCCCGAGGGAGCCCCCGCGGCGGAGCGAGCGCGAGACGCCCCGGGCCCGCCAUGCCCCUGCGGGCGUGCGCGGGCCGAGCCGCGGCGCGUGGGCCCGAAAGGCGGUGAUCUAUGCCCGGCGAGGGCGAGGCCGGGCGAAAGCCUGGUGGAGGCCCGCCGCGGUGCUGACGCGCAGAUCGCUCGUCGGAGCCGGGCAUGGGGGCGAAAGACUCAUCGAACCGCCUGGUAGCUGGUUGCCUCCGAAAUGUCUCCCAGGACAGCCGCCGCCCCGCAGUUGCGGCCCGUAGAGCGCUGGCCGGCGGGAGCGGGGGGCCUGCCCCUCGCCCGCCCCCCAAACUCCGAAGGGCCGCGCCGCCCCGCCGCUGGCCUGGGCGGGGCGGGCGAAUGCGGGCGGCGCGUGGGCCCCUCCUGGUAAGCAGGACGGGCGAGGCGGGACGAUCCGGACGCCGGGCCAGGGUGCGCCGCCGGGGCCCGCGGAACGGCGUCGGCCGGUCCCGACAGCUGGAAGGUGGCCCCAGAAGUCGGCAUCCUCCAGGGAGUGUGUAACAACCCACCAGCCGAAUCGGCCGGCCCGGAAAAUGGAGCGCGCCGGAGCCCCGGACCCGCGCCCGGCCGCCGCGCGCGGCGGGUAGGAGGCCGCAGAGGCCCCGGGGGCGAAGGCGGCGCGCAGGCCCCGCCGGACCGGCCUCUGGUGCAGAUCUCGGCAGCAGUAGCCGCUACUCCGCGCCCCGGAGGACUGAGGGGGAGACGGGUUCCGCGGCGCCUGCAUCUGGCCGCGGGUGACUCGGGCCUAAGCGGCGGGUGAAGACCGGGAAGGGGCGUGCCCGCCCGUCGAACGGGGAGCCGGCGGAGACUCCGGCAGGCGCGGCCCCCGCGGAGACGCCCGCCCCCCGGCGACGCGCACGGGGACCGCGGCGGGCGGCGCCCCGGCCCGCGAACGCCCCGCUGCCCCCGGACGCCUUGCGCGGAGAGGGGGGCCCGGGGGCGGACCCCGCGCGUCCCCGGCCGCCCCUGAAAAGCCGGGGGGCACCGGCCGCGCGCCGUACCGACCGCAGCAGGACUCCGGGGUCAGCAGCCUCUAGCGCGGGAGCGAACGCGGCUCAGGGAAGUCGGCAAGCCGGCUCCGUAACCUCGGGAAAAGGAGUGGCUCUGACGGCGCGCCGGGUCAGAACUGGAACGGACGCGGGGAUCCCGACUGUUUACUAGAAACACAGCGUCGCGAGGGCCGCACCCGGCGCUGGCGCGACGUGAUUUCUGCCCAGUGCCACGACCGUCACCGUGAAGCGAUCCGCCGAAGCCCUGGUAAACGGCGGGAGUAACUAUGACUCUCUUAAGGUAGCCAAAUGCCUCGUCGGGCAAUUUCCGACGUGCAUGAAUGGACCAACGAGGAUCCCACUGUCCCGAGCCGCGCCUCCGCGAGCCUCCAGCCUCGGGAACGGGCGAGGGCCGGCCAGCGGGGCAAGAAGACCCUUUUGAGCUUGACUCCAGCCCGGGCCUGUGGGGCGGGGCGGCCGGCGCAGCGCACAGGGGAGGCCGCGCCCCUGAGACACCCUGACGGCCGCCGCCGCCCCGCUCACCCGGUCGCGCGGGGACCCGCCCGGGCGGGGAGUUC